AUUGAACGCUGGCGGCAGGCCUAACACAUGCAAGUCGAACGAGUGGCGGACGGGUGAGUAAUGUCUGGGAAACUGCCUGAUGGAGGGGGCUAACUACUGGAAACGGUAGCUAAUACCGCAUACCAUCAGAUGUGCCCAGAUGGGAUUAGCUUGUUGGUGGGGUAACGGCUCACCAAGGCGAAGAUCCCUAGCUGGUCUGAGCGGAUGACCGGCAACACUGGAACUGGAACACGGACCAGACGCCUAGGGGGGGCAGAAGUGGGGAACAUUGGAAAAUGGGCGCAAGCUUGAUGCAGCCAUGCCGGGUGGAGGAAGAAGGCUUUCGGGUUGUAAAGUAUUUUCAGCGGGGAGGCGUUACCCGCAGAAGAAGCAACGGCUAACUCCGUGCCAGCAGCCGCGGUAAUAC
rnacentral:rRNA from 1 species